AACGAACGCUGGCGGCGUGCCUUACACAUGCAAGUCGAACGGCAGCACGGGUGCUUGCACCUGGUGGCGAGUGGCGAACGGGUGAGUAAUACAUCGGAACGUACCUUAUCGUGGGGGAUAACGCAGCGAAAGCUGUGCUAAUACCGCAUACGCCCUGAGGGGGAAAGCGGGGGAUCGAAAGACCUCGCGCGAUUAGAGCGGCCGAUGCCUGAUUAGCUUGUUGGUGGGGUAAAAGCCCACCAAGGCGACGAUCAGUAGCUGGUCUGAGAGGACGAUCAGCCGCACUCGGACUGAGACACGGCCCAGGCUACAACGGGAGGCAGCAGUGGGAGAUUUUGGACAAUGGGAGCAACCCUGUUCCAGCAAUGCCGCGUGAGUGAAGAAGGCCUUCGGGUUGUAAAGCUCUUUUGUCAGGGAAGAAACACCGGCUCUAACACAGUCCGGGAAUGACGGUACCUGAAGAAUAAGCACCGGCUAACUACGUGCCAGCCGCCGCCGUAA
rnacentral:rRNA from 1 species